rnacentral:rRNA from 1 species
AACGAACGCUGGCGGCAGGCCUAACACAUGCAAGUCGAACGAAGCCUUCGGGUUUAGUGGCGGACGGGUGAGUAACGCGUGGGAACGUGCCCUUUGGUUCGGAAUAGCCCCGGGAAACUGGGAGUAAUACCGGAUAAGCUCUUCGGAGGAAAGAUUUAUCGCCAAAGGAUCGGCCCGCGUUGGAUUAGGUAGUUGGUGGGGUAAUGGCCUACCAAGCCGACGAUCCAUAGCUGGUUUGAGAGGAUGAUCAGCCACACUGGGACUGAGACACGGCCCAGACUCCUACGGGAGGCAGCAGUGGGGAAUCUUAGACAAUGGGGGAAACCCUGAUCUAGCCAUGCCGCGUGAUCGAUGAAGGCCUUAGGGUUGUAAAGAUCUUUCAGUGGGGAAGAUAAUGACUGUACCCACAGAAGAAGCCCCGGCUAACUCCGUGCCAGCAGCCGCCGUAACAC